UAACGCUGGCGGUAGGCCUAACACAUGCAAGUCGAACGGCAGCACAGUAAUGAGCUUGCUCUUAUGGGUGGCGAGUGGCGGACGGGUGAGGAAUACAUCGGAAUCUACCUUUUCGUGGGGGAUAACGUGAGGGAAACUUACGCUAAUACCGCAUACGACCUUCGGGUGAAAGCAGGGGACCUUCGGGCCUUGCGCGGAUAGAUGAGCCGAUGUCGGAUUAGCUAGUUGGCGGGGUAAAGGCCCACCAAGGCGACGAUCCGUAGCUGGUCUGAGAGGAUGAUCAGCCACACUGGAACUGAGACACGGUCCAGACUCCUACGGGAGGCAGCAGUGGGGAAUAUUGGACAAUGGGCGCAAGCCUGAUCCAGCCAUACCGCGUGGGUGAAGAAGGCUUCGGGUUGUAAAGCCCUUUUGUUGGGAAAGAAAACAAUCGAUUAAUACUCGGUUGUUCUGACGGUACCAAAGAUAAGACCGGUACUUCUGCACACG
rnacentral:rRNA from 1 species